AACGGGUAACGGGGAAUUAGGGUUCGAUUCCGGAGAGGGAGCCUGAGAAACGGCUACCACAUCCAAGGAAGGCAGCAGGCGCGCAAAUUACCCAAUCCCGACACGGGGAGGUAGUGACAAUAAAUAACAAUACAGGGCUCUUUUGGGUCUUGUAAUUGGAAUGAGUACAAUUUAAAUCCCUUAACGAGGAACAAUUGGAGGGCAAGUCUGGUGCCAGCAGCCGCGGUAAUUCCAGCUCCAAUAGCGUAUAUUAAAGUUGUUGCAGUUAAAAAGCUCGUAGUUGAAUUUCGGGAUUUUACCGUUGGUCGGGCUAUUGUCUGUACUGGCGUGUAGAAUUUCUACCUUCUGGGGAACUAUCAUGUUAUUUGUUUAGCGUGGUGGGAAACCAGGACCUUUACCUUGAAAAAAUUAGAGUGUUCAAAGCAGGCUUAUGUCUGAAUACAUUAGCAUGGAAUAAUAAAAUAGGACGGUGGUCCUGUUUUGUUGGUUUCUGAAUCACCGUAAUGAUUAAUAGGGAUAGUUGGGGGCAUUAGUAUUCAAUUGUCAGAGGUGAAAUUCUUGGAUUUAUUGAAGACUAACUUCUGCGAAAGCAUUUGCCAAGGAUGUUUUCAUUAAUCAAGAACGAAAGUUAGGGGAUCGAAGACGAUCAGAUACCCGUCGUAGUCUUAACCAUAAACUAUGCCGACUAGGGAUCCGGACGAUGUUAAUUUUUCUUGACUCGUUCGGCGCCUUACGGAA
rnacentral:rRNA from 1 species